CAAGUGAAGAAGCGCAUACGGUGGAUGCCUUGGCAGUCAGAGGCGAUGAAAGACGUUGUAGCCUGCGAUAAGCUUUGGGGAGUCGGCAAACAGACUGUGAUCCAGAGAUCUCUGAAUGGGGGAACCCACCUAGCAUAAGCUGGGUAUCAUGCACUGAAUACAUAGGUGCAUGAGGCGAACCAGGGGAACUGAAACAUCUAAGUACCCUGAGGAAAAGAAAUCAACCGAGAUUCCCUUAGUAGUGGCGAGCGAACGGGGACUAGCCCUUAAGUUGAUUUGAGAUUAGUGGAAGGCUCUGGAAAGUGCCGCCGUAGUGGGUGAUAGCCCCGUACACGAAAAUCUCUUAUCAAUGAAAUCGAGUAGGACGGAGCACGAGAAACUUUGUCUGAAUAUGGGGGGACCAUCCUCCAAGGCUAAAUACUACUGACUGACCGAUAGUGAACUAGUACCGUGAGGGAAAGGCGAAAAGAACCCCGGAGAGGGGAGUGAAAUAGAUCCUGAAACCGUAUGCGUACAAGCAGUGGGAGCAGACUUGUUCUGUGACUGCGUACCUUUUGUAUAAUGGGUCAGCGACUUAUAUUCAGUGGCGAGCUUAACCGAAUAGGGGAGGCGUAGCGAAAGCGAGUCUUAAUAG
rnacentral:rRNA from 1 species